UGUAAUUUCAUAAACUCAAUCUGAAGGUUUUCUUGCUCCUUGCCACCAUUUUGAAGUUCUUCAUCCUUUUAUUUCAAGAUCUCGUCUUUGGCUUUCAAGAGCUCAUCGGUUUUCUCUUUCUCGAGAUGCAAUUGUUGUAGUUUUUCCUACAUGUCGAGCAAAUCUUGUUCCUUUGGUUUUCACUUCGAAUCUGGAACGUUCACAGCUAAGAUGUUGGCAUCAUUGGUUGAUGAGGUUUUGGGGGAAAAUAGUUUUGGAGUUAGAGCGAGAACAAUUUCAGAUAGUGAAAUAGAACGCGGGGUAAUUUCAUAAAGAGAAAAUGGAGCGCGGGGUAAAAGAAAAACGUGUUUCUCUUCAAAUUGAGGCCGCGGUUGUAGGAAAUUGUCGCAUCAACCGUCGCAAACAAUGAAAGAGGGCGGUUCCUUGGCAACCGUCGCAAUUUAUGUGCUACUAUCUUCAAUUUUUUUUGUAGAGAUUUAAAAAUCUGAAGGGACAAUUUUUUAGUAAAGAGGUAGAAAGAGAAUUUGGGACGAAGCAAAAAAGGGAGAAGAGAGAAACCUCAUAUUUUUUUCCAGAGCUUUGGCGUGUCUUGAAAACUGAGCAGAAUUUUUUACUCAUAGAGGAAUUUUGCAACCGAGUGAAGCAAAAAACAUGGAUCAAUUUGACUGGAUUUUCAAAACUAUCGCGUGCCAAAUUUGAUCGGAUAUGCAAAAUUGUUACGCGAAAAAUGGGAGGAGUUGAACGAGAUCGAAUCAGUUAUUGACUCAGUGGAGGGUUUAAGAAAAACGUAGAGAAAAAAAUGCAUGCUAAAAGAUAUUUUUAUUUUUUUCGUGUACAAAAAAAUAAUAUACAACUUACCCCUAACCUAACCCUGCAGACUAGACGGCGACAACAUCUAUGUGGUUAUCGGUUUCAGUGUGGUCUAUUCCAUUCAAAGAGUUGGGUAUCCUUUAGGGCACACUCCAAAAGUCAUACCUCUAUCUUAUAAAACUACUAGUGUUGAUAUCUCUCAUAAGUAAGACUUCUACAUAUUUUCAAUUCACACAAUAUUAGUUCUAACUUUCAACACUUGUGCUUAAGUUCCAACAUCAUUUCCUAUAUGUGCCAUCAACUUGGACACAACACAUCUACAUAUAAAAUACCAC
rnacentral:lncRNA from 1 species